rnacentral:rRNA from 1 species
AAAAGGGGAGGGGAAACCUAACAUGCAAGUCGAGCGGUACACAGGGAGCUUGCUCCUGGGUGACGAGCGGCGGACCCGUGAGUAAUGUCUGGGAAACUGCCUGAUGGAGGGGGAUAACUACUGGAAACGGUAGCUAAUACCGCAUAACGUCGCAAGACCAAAGAGGGGGACCUUCGGGCCUCUUGCCAUCAGAUGUGCCCAGAUGGGAUUAGCUAGUAGGUGGGGUAACGGCUCACCUAGGCGACGAUCCCUAGCUGGUCUGAGAGGAUGACCAGCCACACUGGAACUGAGACACGGUCCAGACUCCUACGGGAGGCAGCAGUGGGGAAUAUUGCACAAUGGGCGCAAGCCUGAUGCAGCCAUGCCGCGUGUAUGAAGAAGGCCUUCGGGUUGUAAAGUACUUUCAGCGGGGAGGAAGGUGUUGAGGUUAAUAACCUCGGCAAUUGACGUUACCCGCAGAAGAAGCACCGGCUAACUCCGUGCCAGCAGCCGCGGUAAUACGGAGGGUGCAAGCGUUAAUCGGAAUUACUGGGCGUAAAGCGCACGCAGGCGGUCUGUCAAGUCGGAUGUGAAAUCCCCGGGCUCAACCUGGGAACUGCAUUCGAAACUGGCAGGCUAGAGUCUUGUAGAGGGGGGUAGAAUUCCAGGUGUAGCGGUGAAAUGCGUAGAGAUCUGGAGGAAUACCGGUGGCGAAGGCGGCCCCCUGGACAAAGACUGACGCUCAGGUGCGAAAGCGUGGGGAGCAAACGGGAUUAGAUACCCUGGUAGUCCACGCCGUAAACGAUGUCGACUUGGAGGUUGUGCCCUUGAGGCGUGGCUUCCGGAGAUAACACGCUAAGUCGACCGCCUGGGGAGUACUGCCGCGAGGGUAAAAACUCUAAUGAAAUUGACGGAGGGGCCCCACCAACCGGUGGAGGAUGUGGGUGUAUUUUAAUGCGACGCGAAGGAGUAGUACCUUCUCUUGUCGUGGACGAGCAGGAUUCCUUACAUGGAUUGGUUUCGUCCGCCAAC